rnacentral:rRNA from 1 species
UGAACGCUAGCGGCAGGCUUAACACAUGCAAGGUCGAGGGGUAUAGUUCUUCGGAACUAGAGACCGGCGCACGGGUGCGUGACGCGUAUGCAAUCUACCUUUUACAGAGGGAUAGCCCAGAGAAAUUUAGAUUAAUACCUCAUAGUAUGUGAGAAUCGCAUGGUUUUCACAUUAAAGUUCCAACGGUAAAAGAUGAGCAUGCGUCCCAUUAGCUAGAUGGUAAGGUAACGGCUUACCAUGGCGACGAUGGGUAGGGGUCCUGAGAGGGAGAUCCCCCACACUGGUACUGAGACACGGACCAGACUCCUACGGGAGGCAGCAGUGAGGAAUAUUGGACAAUGGGCGCAAGCCUGAUCCAGCCAUGCCGCGUGCAGGAUGACGGUCCUAUGGAUUGUAAACUGCUUUUGUACAGGAAGAAACACUCCCUCGUGAGGGAGCUUGACGGUACUGUAAGAAUAAGGAUCGGCUAACUCCGUG